CACCAAGACCACGUGGCAAGCGCUCCGCCCUCCGAGCGCGGCCCAACCUGGCAAGACCUGAGUUGCUCCUGAGCGUGCGCAGACACACAGGGAGCGCCUGAACUCGGAACGAGUUUGCCGGUUUUCUUCUUGGAUGGACAGAACGCAGUCGUUGGUGUUCCCGGUUGUCAGUGUGACAGUUGUGGAAGAACAGAGAAAUAAAGGAUCCUGAGACAUCGGCUGCCGUGUCUCCCAAGUGCUAGAACUGCAGACGUGAGCCACCACACCCGGCUUUCAAGGUAAACCACAUUCAUUUGCUCGGUAGAACCUCCCCACUCCUGUAGGACCACAGUAGGCAUUAGUGGCUGUAUUUAACCCCAGUUGGUAAAAGUACCAAAACCUCCCUCACCUCUAAGAGUACCUUUCCUACUCUUAUUGCUUUGAAAAUAAAACAAAACGUAAAGAGUA